CAAAUUACACCUAAGGGGUAAUGUUGUUUACAACAAUAUUUAGGAUUGUGCAAUUCAGUCUAAUUUGA
rnacentral:tRNA from 1 species